rnacentral:rRNA from 1 species
AUGAACGCUGGCGGCGUGCCUAAUACAUGCAAGUCGAGCGAACAGACGAGGAGCUUGCUCCUUCGACGUUAGCGGCGGACGGGUGAGUAACACGUAGGUAACCUACCUAUAAGACUGGGAUAACUUCGGGAAACCGGAGCUAAUACCGGAGAAUAUUUCGAACCGCAUGGUUCGAUAGUGAAAGAUGGCUUUGCUAUCACUUAUAGAUGGACCUGCGCCGUAUUAGCUAGUUGGUAAGGUAACGGCUUACCAAGGCAACGAUACGUAGCCGACCUGAGAGGGUGCUCGGCCACACUGGAACUGAGACACGGUCCAGACUCCUACGGGAGGCAGCAGUAGGGAAUCUUCCGCAAUGGGCGAAAUCCUGACGGAGCAACGCCGCGUGAGUGAUGAAGGUCUUCGGAUCGUAAACCUCUUUUAUUAGGGAAGAACAAACGUGUAAGUAACUGUGCACGUCUUGACGGUACCUAAUCAGAAAGCCACGGCUAACUACGUG